rnacentral:snRNA from 1 species
AUACUUAACUGGGAGGGAAGAGAUACCAUGAUCAUGAAGGCGGUUUUCCCAGGGCAAGACUUAUCCAUUGCACUCUGGAUGUGCUGACCCUUGUGAUUUCCCCAAGUAUGGGAAACUCGACCGCAUAAUUUGUGGUAGGCGGGGAAUUGCAUUCAUGCUCUCUCCUG